rnacentral:rRNA from 1 species
GACGAACGCUGGCGGCGUGCUUAACACAUGCAAGUCGAACGGAAAGGCCCUGCUUUUGUGGGGUGCUCGAGUGGCGAACGGGUGAGUAACACGUGAGUAACCUGCCCUUGACUUUGGGAUAACUUCAGGAAACUGGGGCUAAUACCGGAUAGGAGCUCCUGCUGCAUGGUGGGGGUUGGAAAGUUUCGGCGGUUGGGGAUGGACUCGCGGCUUAUCAGCUUGUUAGUGGGGUAGUGGCUUACCAAGGCUUUGACGGGUAGCCGGCCUGAGAGGGUGACCGGCCACAUUGGGACUGAGAUACGGCCCAGACUCCUACGGGAGGCGGCAGUGGGGAAUAUUGCACAAUGGGCGGAAGCCUGAUGCAGCAACGCCGCGUGCGGGAUGACGGCCUUCGGGUUGUAAACCGCUUUCGCCUGUGACGAAGCGUGAGUGACGGUAAUGGGUAAAGAAGCACCGGCUAACUACGUGCCAGCAGCCGCGGUGAUACGUAGGGUGCGAGCGUUGUCCGGAUUUAUUGGGCGUAAAGGGCUCGUAGGUGGUUGAUCGCGUCGGAAGUGUAGUCUUGGGGCUUAACCCUGAGCGUGCUUUCGAUACGGGUUGACUUGAGGAAGGUAGGGGAGAAUGGAAUUCCUGGUGGAGCGGUGGAAUGCGCAGAUAUCAGGAGGAACACCAGUGGCGAAGGCGGUUCUCUGGGCCUUUCCUGACGCUGAGGAGCGAAAGCGUGGGGAGCGAACAGGCUUAGAUACCCUGGUAGUCCACGCUGUAAACGGUGGGUACUAGGUGUGGGGUCCAUUCCACGGGUUCCGUGCCGUAGCUAACGCUUUAAGUACCCCGCCUGGGGAGUACGGCCGCAAGGCUAAAACUCAAAGGAAUUGACGGGGCCCCGCACAAGCGGCGGAGCAUGCGGAUUAAUUCGAUGCAACGCGUAGAACCUUACCUGGGUUUGACAUGGAUCGGGAGUGCUCAGAGAUGGGUGUGCCUCUUUUGGGGUCGGUUCACAGGUGGUGCAUGGCUGUCGUCAGCUCGUGUCGUGAGAUGUUGGGUUAAGUCCCGCAACGAGCGCAACCCUUGUUCACUGUUGCCAGCACGUUAUGGUGGGGACUCAGUGGAGACCGCCGGGGUCAACUCGGAGGAAGGUGGGGAUGACGUCAAGUCAUCAUGCCCCUUAUGUCCAGGGCUUCACGCAUGCUACAAUGGCUGGUACAGAGAGUGGCGAGCCUGUGAGGGUGAGCGAGUCUCGGAAAGCCGGUCUCAGUUCGGAUUGGGGUCUGCAACUCGACCUCAUGAAGUCGGAGUCGCUAGUAAUCGCAGAUCAGCAACGCUGCGGUGAAUACGUUCCCGGGGCU